rnacentral:telomerase_RNA from 13 species
GGCCGGCGUGCCUGGGAGGGGGGGCUGGUCCCACUCUUCUAACCCUAAGGGUGUCGGCUGUAGGCGCCGUGCUUUUUACUUCCCCGCGCGCUGUUUUUCUGGCUGGCUUUCAGCGAGCGGAAAAAGCUUUGGUCUACAGGCCACUCACUUUGUAUCCCGAAACCAAAUUGAAAAAAAAAAAUGCCAGCUCCGGCCGGUCCACCCCUCCCGGGGUCCUGCGGCCCGGCCGCCCGCCCGAACCCCCCGCGACCCGCCUGAGGCCACGGCCGGCCCGGGGCCUCUGCGGAGGUGCCCAUUGCCGCCGCGAAGAGUUAGGCUCUGUCAGCCGCGGGAUCCGCGCGGGCCGGGCCGCGGCCGGACGCCGAUCCGCAGGGACAGCAACGGAACCGGCCCCUUCGCCCUGUGCGCUUCCCGGAGCUGUGGGAUGAGCACCCGGGGUCGGCUCCUACAGUU